rnacentral:rRNA from 1 species
UACGUAGGGGGCUAGCGUUGUCCGGAAUCAUUGGGCGUAAAGCGCGUGUAGGCGGCCCGGUAAGUCCGCUGUGAAAGUCGGGGGCUCAACCCUCGAAAGCCGGUGGAUACUGUCGGGCUCGAGUGCGGAAGAGGCGAGUGGAAUUCCUGGUGUAGCGGUGAAAUGCGCAGAUAUCAGGAGGAACACCGAUGGCGAAGGCAGCUCGCUGGAACGGUACUGACGCUGAGACGCGAAAGCGUGGGGAGCGAACAGG